rnacentral:rRNA from 1 species
CAGCAGCCGCGGUAAUACAGAGUGUGCGAGCGUUAAUCGGAUUUACUGGGCGUAAAGCGUGCGUAGGCGGCUUCUUAAGUCGGAUGUGAAAUCCCUGAGCUUAACUUAGGAAUUGCAUUCGAUACUGGGAAGCUAGAGUAUGGGAGAGGAUGGUAGAAUUCCAGGUGUAGCGGUGAAAUGCGUAGAGAUCUGGAGGAAUACCGAUGGCGAAGGCAGCCAUCUGGCCUAAUACUGACGCUGAGGUACGAAAGCAUGGGGAGCAAACAGGAUUAGAUACCCCCGUAGUCCCUGUCUCUUAUAC